UACGUAGGGUGCGAGCGUUGUCCGGAAUUAUUGGGCGUAAAGAGCUCGUAGGCGGACUGUCACGUCUGCUGUGAAAAGCUAGGGCUUAACCCUGGCCUUGCAGUGGAUACGGGCAGACUAGAGGUAGGUAGGGGAGAAUGGAAUUCCCGGUGUAGCGGUGAAAUGCGCAGAUAUCGGGAGGAACACCGGUGGCGAAGGCGGUUCUCUGGGCCUUACCUGACGCUGAGGAGCGAAAGCGUGGGGAGCGAACAGG
rnacentral:rRNA from 1 species